GACGAACGCUGGCGGCGUGCUUAACACAUGCAAGUCGAACGAAGUGGCGAACGGGUGAGUAACGCGUAAUCAACCUGCUCUUCAGAGGGGGACAACAGUUGAAAACGAAUGCUAAUACCGCAUACUGAAGGAGGGGAGUGCGUCUGAUUAGCUAGUUGGAGGGGUAACGGCCCACAAAGGCGAUGAUCAGAAGCCGGUCGGAGAGAAAGGACGGACAAAAGGGGAAUGAGACAAGGGCCAGAAUCCAAAGGGAGGCAAGAAGGGGGAAACGUGCGAAAUGGGAGGAAGUCUGACGGAGCAACGCCGCGGGCGAUGUGAAGGGAGUCGGGUUGUAAAGCUAUGUUAAUCGGGGCGCGGUACCGGAAUAGAAAGCCACGGCUAACUACGUGCCAGCAGCCGCGGUAAUUC
rnacentral:rRNA from 1 species